GAUUGAACGCUGGCGGCAGGCCUAACACAUGCAAGUCGAGCGGAUGAGAGGAGCUUGCUCCUGGAUUCAGCGGCGGACGGGUGAGUAAUGCCUAGGAAUCUGCCUGGUAGUGGGGGACAACGUUUCGAAAGGAACGCUAAUACCGCAUACGUCCUACGGGAGAAAGCAGGGGACCUUCGGGCCUUGCGCUAUCAGAUGAGCCUAGGUCGGAUUAGCUAGUUGGUGAGGUAAUGGCUCACCAAGGCGACGAUCCGUAACUGGUCUGAGAGGAUGAUCAGUCACACUGGAACUGAGACACGGUCCAGACUCCUACGGGAGGCAGCAGUGGGGAAUAUUGGACAAUGGGCGAAAGCCUGAUCCAGCCAUGCCGCGUGUGUGAAGAAGGUCUUCGGAUUGUAAAGCACUUUAAGUUGGGAGGAAGGGCAGUAACUUAAUACGUUGCUGUUUUGACG
rnacentral:rRNA from 1 species